GCUUUUGCCAAAUAAAUUUCCCCAUUCUCUGUUUUUUUUUAUAGUACAUCAUGCAACAUUCUGAAUCCAAGGUUGGGUCUCUUCAUGCAGAAUUGAUAGUAUAGACUUUUAAUGAAGACUUCCAUGUUUGUAGUUCAAGCCAGCCAAGUUCCAAAGGAUGUACGUGACAAAUGAAACCACUGACCUCUUCAGGUUGAGAAGCCUCGACGUUGCAAAAACACUGGUUGUAGCAGAACAACAAGUUUUUGUGCUCAAAGUGUACCUGUGCGUAACAGGGAUUAUUACCAUGGCAUAACUUCUGAAUAACUGUACCAUUCUUGUAAAUAUUAUAUGAUUUUCAAUAUACUCAGAU